AGGUUACUGCUAUCGGUGUUCGAUUAAGCCAUGCGAGUUAAAUGUUCUUCGUGAACAUAGCAAACUGCUCAGUAACACGUGGACAGUCUGCCCUUGGGUUCGGCAUAACUCCGGGAAACUGGAGAUAAUACCGAAUAGACCAUUGAAGCUGGAAUGCUCUUUGGUCCAAAGUUCCGGCGCCCAAGGAUGAGUCUGCGGCCUAUCAGGUUGUAGUGGGUGUAACGUACCUACUAGCCUACGACGGGUACGGGUUGUGAGAGCAAGAGCCCGGAGAUGGAUUCUGAGACAUGAAUCCAGGCCCUACGGGGCGCAGCAGGCGCGAAAACUUUACAAUGCGGGAAACCGCGAUAAGGGGACACCGAGUGCCAGCAUACUAUGUUGGCUGUCCACAUGUGUAAAUAGCAUGUGUUAGCAAGGGCCGGGCAAGACCGGUGCCAGCCGCCGCGGUAACACCGGCGGCCCGAGUGGUAAUCACUAUUACUGGGUCUAAAGGGUCCGUAGCCUGUUUAAUCAGUCUUCCGGGAAAUCUGACAGCUCAACUGUUAGGCUUCCGGGGGAUACUGUUAAACUUGGGACCGGGAGAGGUAAGAGGUACUACAGGGGUAGGAGUGAAAUCUUGUAAUCCCUGUGGGACCACCAGUGGCGAAGGCGUCUUACCAGAACGGGUCCGACGGUGAGGGACGAAAGCUGGGGGCACGAACCGGAUUAGAUACCCGGGUAGUCCCAGCCGUAAACGAUGCUCGCUAGGUGUCUGGAAUGGUGCGACCGUUUCAGGUGCCGCAGGGAAGCCGUGAAGCGAGCCACCUGGGAAGUACGGCCGCAAGGCUGAAACUUAAAGGAAUUGGCGGGGGAGCACCACAAGGGGUGAAGCCCGCGGUUCAAUUGGAUUCAACGCCGGGAAU
rnacentral:rRNA from 1 species